CCCGCUGUCUUUGGGGAGUAGCCGCCUUCCGAAUGCGAGAAGGGUGUGCGUCAACAGACUUGUAUCGCGUCCCACGCGGAACAUGGCGUACACAGUAGAAGACCUGGCGAGACCAUUGACCACGCAGCUUCGGGAACAAGGCCGGAGGCGCUGCGUGGUCGAUCGUGUCCUUCGGCCGU
rnacentral:sRNA from 1 species